rnacentral:rRNA from 1 species
CAGUCGCCACGGGAACACGAAGGGGGCUAGCGUUGCUCGGAAUUACUGGGCGUAAAGGGAGCGUAGGCGGGUCGUUUAGUCAGAGGUGAAAUCCCGGGGCUCAACCUCGGAACUGCCUUUGAUACUGGCGACCUUGAGUAUGGGAGAGGUGAGUGGAACUCCGAGUGUAGAGGUGAAAUUCGUAGAUAUUCGGAAGAACACCAGUGGCGAAGGCGACUCACUGGCCCAUUACUGACGCUGAGGCUCGAAAGCGUGGGGAGCAAACAGGAUUAGAGACCCGUGUAGUCCCUGUCUCUUAUAC